UACAGAGGGCGCGAGCGUUGUCCGGAAUCACUGGGCGUAAAGGGCGCGUAGGUGGCCACCAUAAGGCCGCGGUGAAAGUCUGGGGCUCAACCCCGGAUCGGCCGCGGCGACUGUGGGGCUGGGGUACCGUAGAGGCAGAUGGAAUUCCGGGUGUAGCGGUGGAAUGCGUAGAGAUCCGGAAGAACACCAGUGGCGAAGGCGGUCUGCUGGGCGGUGGGAUCGAAAGGUCCCUUCAACCGACACUGAGGCGCGACAGCGUGGGGAGCAAACAGG
rnacentral:rRNA from 1 species